CUUUACGGCCAUGCCACUCUGAACAAGUCCGAUCCCGUCUGAUCUUGGAAGCUAAGCAGGGUCAGGCCUGGUUAGUACUUGGAUGGGAGACCACCUAGGAAAGCCAGGUGCUGUAGGCA
rnacentral:rRNA from 1 species